ensembl:lncRNA
CACAAGCCACAAAACCUACUUGUGUAGGCUUAGCCAAACUUGGGCCCAGAGUGGGAAAUGUUUCAUCCUCCCUGGAGUCAUUCGUGGCUGGGAGACGGGAGCAGUUCAUGUUCUCAGCAUGAAGGAGUUCGGAGAAGCAGCUUAAUUUUAAAAGCUUGUGUUUUCUACCUUCAAUUUGCUGUCAGCUUUCUCUGUCCUCCUCACCCCAUAACACAAAACAGGCUGUUGAGGAAUGGGCUUCUGAAAAGCUGCGGAGUCAGCCCAGUGUGAUUCAUGUCAUGAGAGUGACACGGCUGGGGUUGAGCUGCACAACCACCUCCGAUUCCUUGCCUCUGGGUUGAGAUUAAGGAGCGAGAACUUGGAGAUCAGAGGGUGGCUACUAGAGAAUUUGCAAUCACAUGUGUGGCUUGUAUUUGUGGCUGGUAUUAUGUUUCUGUUGGGCAGGCUGACUCGAGCUUGAAGUUGGAGCGUCAUGCUAUGGCCAGUCCACCUGGUUUAGGACCUCAUACCAUCAUUCUUUCCCGGGAAAGCACAUCCUUGCUCUACUUCCCGCUCACAUCUCCAGAAGUCUGCAGAAAUGAAAAACACGUUUGGAGGUUCUUCCUGCCUCAGCUUCUCCCAGCACCCAACCUGCCAAGAAUAGAACUGUGUGUGGUGCAGGCAGAUACUGAGGAUUAGGUAGUGGCCUAAGAAGAGAACUGACUUGGUCAGCUAGUUUUGCUCUUUUAUUAAUUAUAAGAUCCGUUUUGAAUUCAGUUGGUGGAGUGACAGAUACUCCCAGGUGCUCCUAGCAGUAAAGUGUUCGCCAAAAGCUCUGUGCCCUUGGCUUUUGCAGUUUGGGGCCAUUUUCUUCUCUUCUGCCCAGUCACUCCUCUGCAAAAUCUCUGAAGCUCCCUUGUGCCUUCUUGCAGGGAUGCAGAGCUGGGGCCCCAUGGACCUUGUUGCCAUUUCAGCUGCCAGGCAGAUAAAAAAUUGUGCACAACAGUGUUCCUUCCUCUGAGAAGCUCUGGAAGAGAAGGCUGCAGUGGGCACAUUUGGACUCAGCAGGAGCCUGAGACAACUGAGUCAGUUUCUUUGGAUUCGGCAGUUUUCCAGCACUGUGAGGCCACUGCAGCCUCGAAGACAGCUCAAGGACACGGAUGAGGAAAGCUGAGCCCAUGACGGUUGACACACAACCUCCCACCCUGCUGCAGCCAUGUGUCUACGUCCAGAGGUGGCCUGGGAACAGCACAGCGCCAGCCCUUGGGUACAGUCACAGCCCUUGGGCACAGUGUGGCUCCUGGGCUCUCAGGGCAACUACUAGGUGCCCUAACUCACUGGCAAAACUGGUCAAGCUCUCCCCAAGCAGAGAUCCUUCCUGCUGUUGGCUGUUUUUGUGGGGGACUCUGUGGGUGCACAGCUGUACUCCCUGCUAUGUUUGUUUAGUCUCUUUUCCACUGGGCCCUCCCCUUCCAGGCUGGUAAAAGCACAGCCUUCCCCGAGCCCAGAGGCCAGUUGGGUCUCUUCCAGCUGUGAUCAGAAGGGGCCUGGCAAUGCCUCCUCUGAAGCAAGAUCUAUCAGGCUGCCCAAAAACCAGGAACUGCAGUCUGGGAAAAGAGACAGACACUUGGGUGUUUCCCACUCAUGCAUUUGACAAAUAUUUAAAUGUAGUUAUGCUGUGAGCUAAGCUCUGUGCUAGCCUUGAAGAACUCAGAUCAAUCAGGCAUAAAUCCAGCCAUGUGGACUUUUACAGCCUGGGGGAAGUGAUGGCUGUCAUCAGCAAGGCACACACACUGGUGUGGAAGCCCAGCAGAAUAGGUAGGCUUGAGCAAGCAGGAAUGCGAAAACAGUUGGAUAUUUUAGGGAAGUGACAUUUGAGCUGGCAUUGAAAAAUAGGUGUAACUUGGCUGUACUGCAGGGUUGCUCCCUCUCAGCAUUAUUGACAUUUGGGAGCAGAUAGUCUUUAUUAUGGGGACUGUCCUGUACAGUCUAAGAUGUUUGGCAGCAUCCCUGGCUCCUACCCAUGACAUGCAAAUGAAAGCCUGUCUUAGUCCGCUUUCUGUUGCUAUAAAAAUGCUUGAAGCAGACAUGUUAUAAAGAAGAAGGCAUACAGCUCUGGAGGUUCACAGAAUGGCGCAGUGCCCUGGUGAGGGUCUCCUUGCUACAUGAUAUGAUGAAAAGAGAAAGGGAACUGGCCACGUGCAGAAGGGGCCCCAUGUGUGUGGUGGACUUGCUUUAUAACACCCACUCCCAUGAACACAACUCCCUCUGCAAGGUCAGCAUUAACCCCUCUGAGUUAAGAUGACUCCGUCAUCUUCCGUGGUCCCACCUUCUGCAGCUUCCGCCACCUCUUGACAUCACCACACUGAGAACCAAGCUUCCUCGACCCAGACUUGGGGGACAUUCAAGCCGGGUCCAAACCGAGCAGACCGCAUCCAGCGGUGACAACCAAAAAUGUCUCCAGACGCUUCUGGAUAUCCUCCACUCAGCAAAACCACCCUGGCUGGAACCACUGCUAUAAAAGAAUGGACAGAAGAAUAUGUUAAAAGACAAAAAUACAAACAAGCAAAGGACAUGACACAGAGGUGACCCAGUUUGCCUAGAACAAGGGGUGUGUGCAGGGCACGCUCAGGUGAAGCCAAGGAAAGUUACCACAGGAGGUCCAUGUAGUGGGGUAACAUGAUGAGCUCACAUCUGUUUCCUUCCACCAUAUGUCCCAAGCAUCUGGAACAGAGACUGACACUUAGCGGGAGCUCCACAAGGCCUCGGAUGCUCUCUGUUCGUUCAUUGCUAUGUCCUCAAGGCCUAGGCCCCUGCCUGGCAAGAAACAGGAGCUCACUUUCCUGAAUGAGAUUCCAUUUUGCAAGACUGGCACAAGAACUCUUGUGUCUUGUUACUUUUCUCAUUGCUGAGCCAAAAUACCCGAUACUCAAAGUUAAAGGAGGAAAGGCUUAUCUGGAGUCUUAUCAUUAAGAGCUCCUCUGGCAACCAUUCUUCAUGGUGACAACCCUCACACCUGUUUCAGGGUACCAUGGCUGAUUUUAAACAAGCUGGUCAUGGCACAAACAAGGUUCCCUAGGAAUAUGUGGGCCUCACUCAGAGGAUGAAGCUGGUGCCCAUCCAGUGACAUAGGGGCAAGAGACACAAAGGUGGCUGGUGAGGGUCUCAGAAGCCUCCUAGAAACUCCACUGAAAUGUCUCCAGGACAUUUGUAGGCACACCCAGGCCAUGAUUUCUGUGUCAUAGAAAGCAGCUCCUUUUGUCCGAAUUUCAAGCUCCUAUCUGGGCUGGGAUAAGCUUCUUUCUUUCAUGUUUUAAACUGUUUUGUUAGUGUUAUAAAACGUUAUGAACUGAUAAGCCUAGGUUGUUAUUGACAGCUCAAAGGGACAGAUGUCAGAUAAAUAUAAGGGACAACUUCACAAGGCAAACUGCUCAGGUUACUAGAAAAGGAAUUAGAUUCCUUCGGUUAGGAAGAAGAAUCCUGACAUGGAAAUCACUGGAUUUCCCAGCAGCAGAUAUCUAAGUAGAUGACAAGAUGGCUACAUCCCCAGCCCCCCCCACACUUUUUUUAAAAUUUUGAGACAGGAUCUUGCUAAAUCACUAAGCUGCCCAAACUUUCAAUUGUCCUUCUUCAGCCUUCCAGCGUGCAGAUGACAGGUGUCCACCACCUCACCAAAGUGGCAUUUCCUCCUCCAUCUGCACAUAAAACAAUGUCAAGAACUCCUGGUUGUCAAAGAGAUGACUGGCAAUUCUUAAAGGCAAGAUAAUGUCCUUUAUUUGGAAGAAGCUGAGAGAACUUACUUGCUAAAAAAGGUCCCAAGAGUGAAAGAAAGUGGUUUGAAGGUUCUUUUCUUUCCCCCACAGAAAGGCAUGGAAAUAUCCAAUAUGCAGCAGGAUGCGGUGUUGCCUCCAAACGUUGCAUCUGCCUGAAAUCACUGAGGGAUGAAUUAAGCUGUGACUGUCAAUGAGUAGAGGUGUUUGUGUUGUCCUGUGAUUUCUGAACAUUCUGUAACUGGAGUGUGGCCCUCAGGGCUGGAUCCCUGGGCCUGGCAGACUGGCUCUGACAGUUACACCCUCACCUUUUCUGUGCUUCCAUUUCCUCAUCUCAAAAUUGAGGACAGCUGAACUCCCUACCUACUGCAGGCCUGGGGAGGACAGGUAGGGUUAAUACACGGAACAGCCUUAGAUGCAGGCCUGGCACAUGCCAAGGCUGUGUGUCUCCUGCUGCCGCUUCUGUAACUGGGGGAAAGGACUGGGAGCUGAGUUUAAGAAUCUCGGUGCAGAAUUAUUGAGAAAACCGAUGUAGUGAGCAUGGACCUGGGAUUUAGACACACAGGGCCUCGAGUUCAGGCUCUGUCUUUGGCUGUGUGACAAUCAAGAAAUGUAUACAAAGGAUCUCUGAAUACCAGGAUCUACAUCCAUGGACUCAAUGAAUCAUGGAUCCAAAAUGUGGUUAGGCCUAAGGUGCAUCUGUACUGAGCACUGUGACUCGUUCCUUGUCCUUAUUCUCCAAACGAUGCAGUGUGUCAUUUACACAGCAUUUACAAUGCAUAGGCAUAGGGUGUUGUAAGUCAUCUGGAGUAUACAGAGUAUACACGAGGCUAUGCACAGGUUGUAAGCAAAUAUCGCUCCAUUUUAUACAAGGGGCUUGAAUGUUGCAGAUUUUCAUAUCCUGGAACUAAUUCUCCACAGAUACUAAGAGAUCACUUUAUCUUUCAGAGUCAUUUUCUUUGUCUAUAGGGUGGGGUGAUACUAGUGUAUACUCUGUAGGGCUGUAAGGGUUAAAGAAGGAAAUGCUCAAAAAUAUUCAGCAUAGUCCUAAGACAGAGUCUAUGUUCAAGAAGAUUCUUGAAUCAGUACAUUAAUGCUUUAUCUUCUUCAAAGAAUAAUUUCAGUGCUGUGUUAUUAGUUUAGAUUUAUUGAUUUUAAUUCUUUCAAAUUCUUAGUGUUUAUCUGUUUUAAUAAAAUUUUGUUUUAUAACAUAAAAUGAAAUGUAUUUGAGUGAAAGCGUAUAGCAUUCCCCUUUUUCUUACCUAAGUAUAUUUAGAGUAAAUCUAUGACUUAGAUGAUUGGCAUUACCAAGGCCCCAUUUAACUAGUGGGCAAACUGAGUACCAAAGAGAGAAAUACCUAUCUCUAAAGAGCCAACUUCACAAACCUAACCUGCAAAUUGGUAGCAAAUGUUAUAUGCAAUUAAGUAAAACAAUGGAUUUAUGGAAACUAGAUAUUUCAGAGAGAGAGAGUCAUAAUUUUUUUUUUCAGAAAUACAAGAAAUAAUCUUCUUCCAAAACACGUUUAGGAAAAACUCAAAAGAAAUAUAAAAUCCAAAAUAUCAUUUAAAUUUUAUUUCACAAAGUGACAUACAGAAGUGAGUAGCUAGAACCGUGGUACAUUUAGUUCCCUAACCAAGGAAGAACUGAUGAGGUGGCAUGGAGACAGUGAACCAGAAAGAGAGACAAUUGAGGGAUGCAGGCUAGUGUCACAAUCUUUGCAGACUUCCUCAGGGAAGAGGCAUGGAGUGGGAUGAGAUACAGCCAAAGGCAGAACUAAACACCAGGACCUAAGGUAGAAAAAUAAACAGAUGUACAGAUUACCCAGGGGUUUGCAAAUCAUGGCUUGCAGGCCAAAUCUGGCCCACCCAUUGGUUUUAUAAAUAAAAUUUUAUUGGAACACAGCCAUGUCCAUUUGUACGCAUUUUGCUCAUGGUUUCUUUCUUUUUAAAAUUAAUUUUAUUGGUAC